AGCCACAGCCUUAUCACCCUGCAGCCCAAGACCGAUUACUCACUGAAGCAAAGCAGGGCUGAACCUGGUAAGUACCUAAAUGGGAGCCCACAUGGGAAAAACUAGAUAGCUGUUAGAA
rnacentral:rRNA from 1 species